rnacentral:rRNA from 1 species
GGGGGGGGCAAGCGUUGUUCGGAAUUACUGGGCGUAAAGGGCGCGCAGGCGGUUUCGUCAGUCAUGGGUGAAAGCCCCGGGCUCAACCCGGGAAUGGCCUGUGAAACCACGGAACUGGAUGCUGGAGAGGGAAGCGGAAUUCCCAGUGUAGCGGUGAAAUGCGUAGAUAUUGGGAGGAACAUCGGUGGCGAAGGCGGCUUCCUGGACAGACACUGACGCUGAGGCGCGAAAGCCAGGGGAGCGAACGGGAUUAGAUACCCCGGGUAGUCCUGGCUGUAAACGAUGAAUACUUGGUGUAGGGGGUAGGAAAGUCCCCUCUGUGCCGAAGAGAACUCGAUAAGUAUUCCGCCUGGGGAGUACGGCCGCAAGGCUG